CAGCCGCCGCGGUAAUACGGAGGGUGCAAGCGUUAAUCGGAAUUACUGGGCGUAAAGCGUGCGCAGGCGGUUUGUUAAGACAGAUGUGAAAUCCCCGGGCUCAACCUGGGAACUGCAUUUGUGACUGGCAAGCUAGAGUCUGGCAGAGGGGGGUGGAAUUCCGCGUGUAGCAGUGAAAUGCGUAGAUAUGCGGAGGAACACCGAUGGCGAAGGCAGCCCCCUGGGCCAACACUGACGCUCAUGCACGAAAGCGUGGGGAGCAAACAGGAUUAGAUACCCGCGUAGUCCCUGUCUCUUAUAC
rnacentral:rRNA from 1 species